CUUCAACUCAACUAUAUUCCGACUGGAGGGAAAUCAAAAACUACUGUCAUCAUAAUUUCUUGAAGGCUUCACUUUGUGCCAGAUCCUGUGCCGACUGCUUUGCACCAACUGUCUCGUUUAAUCCUCACAUCCAAAAGAAGGAUUCUCUAGGUAAUGACAUGACCUUUGGACAAGAUUUCAAGGUUUAACACAUUCCAGUGGAGAUGCAGAUCCCAGUAUCACAGAACGUGAAAAACACUGAGUCCUGCCAAAUGUAUUAAAACACUAAUUAUGGAUCCUCACAAUCUCUUGGCCUGUUUUCUCAGAGGAGGGAAAACCCAGCGUGAAAAACCGUUGAUGAGAUGUCUGCAGAGGAGGACUACGUCUGGUCUUUAAGGCCGGGAACUAUCCCAGUAGAUUCUGAGUCAGUGGGUCCAGAGUAGGCCUUGAGCGUCUCUGUUCUUUUCCAAAGCCCCACAGGCUACACUUCCGCGCCCUGGAGUUGGGAAGUACAGUCAUGCCCUACAGCGGGACGUUCAGUCAACAACGGGGGUCCCAUCAGAUUAGUCCCAUAUGGCCUAGGUGUGUAGGAGGCUCUGCCAUCCAGGUUUAGGAACUCCGUGGGGUUUGCACAGUCUCGAGAUUGCCUGACCAUGACACACUCCUCAGAACUUAUCCCCACCGUUAAGCAAAGCAUGACUAUACUGCCUUGGAUUCUCCACGGUCCCACACCCUGCACUCUUUAGAUGACUGCACACGCAGAGGGCACCGUGUCUGAGGCAGAGAGCAGCUGGAAUCACAAAAGCUCUCGACAGAGAGUCAAGGAAAGGCGUGCUCUGCUUACACGACUCUCUACUUUUCUCUGGGUCCCAACCAUUUCAUAGCUAAUCUGCUUUUUGUAACCGAGCAGCUUUGCCAAAAAAAAAAAAAAAAAAAAGAAAACAGAAAGGUUACCAACAAACACUAAACAAACCAAUAUAAACAAUACAUAUUAAAUAAGCCUAACCCUACUAUGCUACUGAAAAGGUUUUUAUUUCCCUGGGAUAAAUUUGGACAGCAUUAGAUUGUUUUACCAAGAGCAGCCAAGUCGAGGGAGAUUAUUUCUAAUUCCACAGUGCUGCAGAUGCGGUCAGUAGCAACCGCAGGCCGGAAAGGAAACAAAGCAAAGUUGGGUGUAAUCCAUUCAAGUUCACACGUUUCACCAGGGACAGCCUCCAAGCCUUGAAUACUUAGGUAUGCAUUUAUCCAUUUCUUUAAUCAACCACUACUAACGCCUACUAAAGGCCAGACACUGCUCUAAGUACUUUACGGAUAUGAAAUAUCCUCUAACCUUUACACUCACCUACGCAGUGUGUAUGAUAAUCAACCCCGUUUUACAGAUCAGGAAACUGACACACAGAAUGGUACAGUAACUUGCCCAAGUUCACACAGUCCGUAGGUGGCAGAGCCAGGACCCAUUUGACAGAGUCUGGCUCCGGAGGCCACGUUCUGAAUCACCACGCUCAGUCUCCAAAAACCUAUAGAAAGCGCCAGCCUCAAUCGGAAAGUUUGGUUUUCCCCACCCUACAGUCCCUACGCGGCCCCAGUCUCCAGGGCAUUCUUUCAGCUCCUCUGACAGGCCCUACUCCUCCCUUGCCCUGUCCCAACACUCUCCCGCACAAGUCCUCCUUUUCUUUUAGGCAUCUGCUCUCAGCUUCAACAUCACUGCCUGAGUCACAAAGUCUAACAGGAAAUGCCGUAUUUCUCA
ensembl:lncRNA